rnacentral:rRNA from 1 species
CUGGUUAAAGCUAAAAGGGUCCAUCC